ACUAUCUGAAGCAUGGCUAACUUCAGGUGUUGUCCUCAGGCCCUGGGCAGAUACUAUCUGAAGCAUGGCUAACCUCAGGUCUUCUUCUAUUGUCCUCAGUCCCUGGGCAGAUACUAUUUGAAGCAUGGCUAACCUCAGGUCUUCUUCUAUUGUCCUCAGUCCCUGGGCAGAUACUAUCUGAAGCAUGGCUAACUUCAGGUGUUGUCCUCAGGCCCUGGGCAGGUACUAUCUGAAGCAUGGCUAACCUCAGGUCUUCUUCUAUUGUCCUCAGUCCCUGGGCAGGUACUAUCUGAAGCAUGGCUAACCUCAGGUGUUGUCCUCAGGCCCUGGGCAGGUACUAUCUAAAGCAUGGCUAACCUCAGGUGUUGUCCUCAGGCCCUGGGCAGGUACUAUCUGAAGCAUGGCUAACCUCAGGUGUUGUCCUCAGGCCCUGGGCAGAUACUAUCUGAAGCAUGGCUAACCUCAGGUCUUCUUCUAUUGUCCUCAGGCCCUGGGCAGAUACUAUCUGAAGCAUGGCUAACCUCAGGUCUUCUUCUAUUGUCCUCAGGCCCUGGGCAGAUACUAUCUGAAGCACUGUUUGGCCCUGUGGCAGCUCCUGACAUCACUCAAAUCAGAAAACAUGCUGUGGCUCAAGAGGGACCCAUUUGAAGGGAUCUCAGAAGAGUACAGGAAGGCCCUGGGAGAGGAAGAGCACAGGCUGCUCACUGGGUUCUUUAAUAAAAGCAGUGCUGAUUCCAUCCUGCUGGAGAUGCACGAGUUCCUGACCCUGGUCCUGAAGGGUCCCCGCGCAUCUGACACCUACAGGCCUGACUGGGGUCUGAAAGACACACUUGU